rnacentral:SRP_RNA from 1 species
CGCUAGGCUCGACCGGGACGUUCGGCGUGUCCUUGUACACCAAAACCGUCGUUAGUGGGGGUGACAGCUGGGGACGUCGUAACCGAACCGGCGCCGGUCCAGAAGCCAACUAUGAGGCUCUGUCCGAUGGGGUUGAAGGUGGCCUUGAGUCCAGCCGGAGGGCGGGACACAUUGCCUUCGCCGCGGGCAUCAGGUCAGGCCCUGACGGGAACAGCCUUACCGCGGACUCCCAACGCUCACCGGGAAGCGGGGCCGAGAAGGUUUCUGGGUAGCUGACGCUUGGAGAGGUCGGCAACCCCAGUGGCCUAGCA